rnacentral:rRNA from 1 species
CCUACGGGAGGCAGCAGUAGGGAAUCUUCCACAAUGGGCGAAAGCCUGAUGGAGCAACGCCGCGUGGGUGAAGAAGGUCUUCGGAUCGUAAAACCCUGUUGUUAGAGAAGAAAGUGCGUGAGAGUAACUGUUCACGUUUCGACGGUAUCUAACCAGAAAGCCACGGCUAACUACGUGCCAGCAGCCGCGGUAAUACGUAGGUGGCAAGCGUUAACCGGAUUUAUUGGGCGGAAAGGGAACGCGGGCGGUUUUGUAAGUCUGAUGUGAAAGCCCUCGGCUUAACCGGGGUAGUGCAUUGGAGACUGGGGGACUUGAGUGCAGGAGAGGAGAGUGGAACGCCAUGUGUAGCGGUGAAAUGCGUAGAUAUAUGGAAGAACACCAGUGGCGAAGGCGGCUCUCUGGUCUUUAACUGACGCUGAGGUUCGAAAGCGUGGGUAGCAAACAGGAUUAGAUACCCUAGUAGUC